UUAAUAAUAUUUUAGUUAAACUCUCUCUCUCUCUUUAUAUAAUUUAGUGAAAACUUUAAAUAUCUCUCCUGUGGUUUCGCACUUUUACACUUUAGUACCUUGUGAUUUAAAAUAUAUCAAAUAAGUACCAUAUGGUUUCACACUUUCUCAUUUUAGUACCCUGCGAUUUCAAGUGUAUCAAUUUAGUACCAUGUGGUUUCAAUUUUGUACCAAUUUAGUACCAUGUGGUUUCAGUUUUCUCUUUUAUUAUCCAUUUCGGAGUAUAUAACUUAACGAAAUAUUAAACCAC
rnacentral:lncRNA from 1 species